ensembl:lncRNA
AUGCCUCCCCACACCUGCCCCACGUCUGCCCCAUACCUGCCCCACAUCUGCUCCACAUCUGCCCCACGUCUGCCCCACACCUGCCCCACGUCUGCCCCACACCUGGCUCACGUCUGCCCCAUACCUGUCACACGUCUGCCCCACACCCGCCCCACGUCUGCCCCACACCUGCCCCAUGCCUCCCCACAACUGCCCCACAUCUGCCCCACAUCUGCCCCACACCCGCCCCACGUCUGCCCCACACCUGCCCCAUGCCUCCCCACACCUGCCCCACGUCUGCCCCAUACCUGCCCCACAUCUGCUCCACAUCUGCCCCACGUCUGCCCCACACCUGCCCCAUGCCUCCCCACACCUGUCCCACGCCUCCCCCACAACUGUCCCAUGCCUUCCCCACCUGUCCCAUGCCUCCCCCACACCUGCCCCACGUCUGCCCCACACCUGCCCCAUGCCUCCCCCACACUUGUCCCAUGUCUGCCCCACACCUGUCCCACGCCUCCCCACACCUGUCCCACGUCUGCCCCAUACCUGCCCCACAUCUGCUCCACAUCUGCCCCAUGCCUCCCCCACACCUGCCCCACGUCUGCCCUACAACUGUCCCACGCCUCCCCCACACCUGCCCCACGUCUGCCCCACACCUGGCUCACGUCUGCCCCACACCUGCCCCACAUCUGCCCCACACCUGCCCCAUGCCUCCCCCACACUUGUCCCACGUCUGCCCCACACCUGUCCCAUGCCUCCCCCACCUGCCCCAUGCCUCCCCCACACCUGUCCCAUGCCUCCCCCACACCUGUCCCACGCCUCCCCCACAACUGUCCCAUGCCUUCCCCACCUGUCCCAUGCCUCCCCCACACCUGCCCCACGUCUGCCCCAUACCUGCCCCAUGCCUCCCCCACACUUGUCCCACGUCUGCCCCACACCUGUCCCAUGCCUCCCCCACCUGCCCCAUGCCUCCCCCACCUGCCCCAUGCCUCCCCCACACCUGUCCCAUGCCUCCCCCACAACUGUCCCAUGCCUUCCCCACCUGUCCCAUGCCUCCCCCACACCUGUCCCACGCCUCCCCCACAACUGUCCCAUGCCUUCCCCACCUGUCCCAUGCCUCCCCCACACCUGCCCCACGUCUGCCCCACACCUGCCCCAUGCCUCCCCCACACCUGUCCCAUGCCUCCCCCACACCUGUCCCAUGUCUGCCCCACACCUGCCCCACGUCUGCCCCACUCCUGGCCCAUGCCUGCUCCACACCUGUCCUACACCUGCUUCAUGCAGAUUCCACACCUCCUUCACACCUGCUGCACUUUGCUUACUUUCUCUGGACUUCUCAAGUUAUAA